GCACACACCCAUUUUAAAAGCACAUUUUUGUGUUGAAUUUUACACAGUGUGACUAAACAAGAAACGCCACCACGAGAAAACAAGCACCUAAAACAAUAAUUUAUUGUUCUGUAUAAGAAGUUAAAUUCAGAUUUAAAAACAUAGCAAAUGCUAGUAAAUCAACGACAAGUUCAAGUAUGGAGAAGUGAAUAACAAUACAAAACGUGAACAAAUUUUUUUUGUUUUUGUUUCUAGCAUGGGAAACUGUAAAAUUAGAAUUAAAUAAUUAUACCUAAAAUGGAAAUACAUUGAACUAGAUACACAAUAUCACAAUCUGAGAAACCGAUUUUUUUAGACAGUGUUUCACCUCAUACACAAACAACUAGAGACGAUGAGAAAACAACCAAUAGCAACAACAGAUUAAUUCUUCAGACCAGUGACAUCCAAUCAUGGCUUUUCAGAUAAUUUUCUGCUGGGCUGUUUAAGAAAAGAGGCAAACACAUGGUGUGCAUUUCAAGACUGAAAACAAACAAUUUCUGUUUUGUAAUUGUCGAUGUUGUGGUAUUUGUUAUUGGCAAAGUCCAAAAAGCACAAUAUACCACUUUUACCUUACACAGAGGUUCAUAAAAAAUACAAUAAAAUAAAUAAGAAAUAGUGAUUAUUUGACAGCGUUUGUGUUACAUAUUUCUCCCAAUAUGUGCAGCUAGCGUGCAAAAUCAGGUCUAAUCUUUUAGCACCAAUUUCACAAAAUGCUUGCCAGUGCUCUAACUACCCAGUGAUCUGAAAAUACAGCAAAAAGGCCUUCGUGGUCUGCUGAUUCAGGAACGCUAAUAAAAAAAUAAUAAUACACUGCUUUAAGGCUGUAAUCUGAAAAAACAAAACAAAAAUAAUGCAACUGUUUCCCCCUUAAACAAAUGUAAUAAAGUGGAUUGGGAUUCUCAUGGCCUUUAAGACAAAAAAUGCCAGUGUUUAUUCCCAUAGCACAGUAGUGUUAGCAAAUCCUCUUCCAUGAAAUCACGGCCUAGUUAUGCAUGCGCGUUAACUCACGUCUAACCCCGUUAAUAUAGUCACCAUGUGAAUAACGGAAUACAUUCUUACUGCUUUUUUGUUUUGUUUUACUAAUAUUACAUUUGUGAUUAUAAUUUGUUUUCCUGAAAGUCAAAUACGGUUUAAAACAAUGCGGGUUCAGUAACAAAAUGCAAUGUAAUUUAAUAAAUGGCAGGGUUAUUUACAAUGAGAAUUGUUAAAAACAGAAAAGAAAUAUGAAAAAAACAAAACAAAAAAAAACUUUUUGUAAGUGCUAUAAGAAUUCACCCUUUGUGAGUGUUUAAUGCUGCUCACCUCUCAAGCAUUUAAAGAGUGAUCGCAAUCAGAAGGUAACUUGAAACAUAUACAUUUAGAGAAUAAACCGCUAUUUACAAAAUUAAACCUCAAUUGUGCAUAAUACAAUAAAUGUUUCCUGAUAUUCCGUCUGCUCUUCUCCUAAAUAGUUUAUUACUAUGCAUUAUAUUAUAUAACAGGUUACACAAACUUUUCAAUUAAUAAUCUACGGAUUCCUUGCAAACACACCUGUGCUAGAAUUAAUCUCAAAAGCAUUAAAAUAGAUUGGAAAUAUAUACAUGGAAUGUAGCGAUCACGUUCGAUCGCCCUCAUGAAAUAGUCCAUCCCUUUUUUUGAUUGACUAAAGAAAUACAUUGUUAAUUAUAUACAUAUAUAUUUCUAUGACCUCAUCUAAUAAAUACAAAAUAAACUGAGUGUGGAUUUACAGCUCUUUUAUUGACCCAUUUUAAACAAGAUAUUAAGUUGGAAAGAUGUAAAUUUCUCGUAAAGAUAUCAUGGGAUGGGAAUAGUGACAAGCAUGCACCUAACUAAUGGUUAAAGAUUGUUCCAGUGACAUUAUUUAAGGUAACCCAAUUAUGCCAAACAGUGUAGCAUCGGAUAAGACUAAGUAGAAUGCAAUGUAUUGUGGGUGAUAAUAUAAACGCAGGGACUCUCUUAUUUUUCUUUGUAGAUUCAAUUAUAUUUAGUGAUUUCAGACAUAACCUCAAUCACGUUCCACCUGUUUCAUCAUGCUCGUUGUUCGCUCCCUUCCAAUAUCGUGCAAAAAAUGAUUUCCUAAUCUAGAAGUGUUCUAAAUCACCUUACACAACAUUGUAGCCCUCUCAAUCAAAUAAACAAAAAACAACCAAACAAAAACAAAAAACAAUUCAUACAAAAACAAACUAGCUAAAUAUUAGAAUGCAGCCAACAUUCAUGUAAAAAGUAAUGUAAUCUGAUAAAAGGUUGAUAUGUCUAAAAUUCCAUGCCUUCCUAUGGCAAUACUUGGUUGUUGUAUAACUACAUCUCCCAUGAUAAAUUGCCAGCCUUUAGAAUGGAAAAGCAUCAUGGUCAGUUCAGUUCUAAAACGGUGGGAGAUCUGCUUUUUCGCCAAACCUUACCUUGUUGGUCACGUAAUGCUCAAAUGUAUAAUUGCAAUUAACAACAAAUCAUUUCCAGAGUAACUAAGUACUCCACUACUAUGCUAUAUCCGUGGAUUACAAUAUUUUAAUAAUCAUUUUUAUAAUUUAGUGAAUUGUCUACAACAUGUGAUGCCAUUGUUGAAACUUUCAGUUGGAAGAAAUAAAAGGCACUGGCCAAAAGUAGUAAGUACCCACAAAAAAAAAAAGAUGUGAAAUAAAAGCAUUUUCAAAUAAUCUAAACCCAGGCAAAUUUAAAGACCAGUGAAUUUGAUCUGUAAUUAUAAAGUGCGUAAGAAAAUGUUUUUUUGACCUUUUUCCUUUCUCAGAGUGUCUCUUGUUCUGAUGAUAUACAUAGAUGAACUGUGUUUUUGGGGUGUGUGAACAAGUGAAUAGUGGAACGGGUUGACACUUUAUAAACAGGUGAAUAUAACCUUUUUUUAGAAGGCAUAUUAAGCAGGUAGAAUACAUAGAGUUUCUUUUCCUCCAAAACUAUCCUGGGAUUAAAAACUGCAAAA